CCUACGGGAGGCAGCAGUGAGGAAUAUUGGUCAAUGGCCGUAAGGCUGAACCAGCCAAGUCGCGUGAAGGAAGAAGGAUCUAUGGUUUGUAAACUUCUUUUAUAGGGGAAUCAAGGUAUCCACGUGUGGAUCUUUCCCUGUACCAUAUAAAUAAGCAUCGGCUAACUCAGUGCAAGCAGCAGCGGUAAUACUGAGGUGCCGAGCGUUAUCCGGAUUUAUUGGGUUUAAAGGGUGCUUAGGUAGUUUGUUAAGGCAGUGGUGAAAGUAUGUGGCUCAACCAUAAAAUUGCCGUGGAAACUGGCAGACUUGAGUGUUGUAGAGGUAGGCGGAAUGCGUGGUGUAGCGGUGAAAUGCAUAGAUAUCACGCAGAACUCCGAUUGCGAAGGCAGCUUACUAAGCUAUAACUGACACUGAGGCACGAAAGCGUGGGGAUCAAACAGGAUUAGAUACCCCAGUAGUC
rnacentral:rRNA from 1 species